UCACCCCUCAAGCCCGGCUUGUUGUUGGUGGCGGCGAGACCUUCGGGUCUCGCCCCGCCCAAAGAUAAUGACGGCGUCUGCGAGGACUCCUGUACACUGAGCUUUCGGGCACGUACACGGCUAGAAGUCCAGGCGCCGGUCGACGUCCUUCGGGACACUUUUUACCAA
rnacentral:misc_RNA from 1 species